GGAGAUGAGGAGACCCAGUGAACUGCCUGGUGGAUAGGAGGGGAUCCUCGUUCCCUGAAAGUCUUCUGAUACAAAAAGGACGCAAGUCAAGGAGGCAGCGACAUGGACAUCAGGACACAGAAAUCUUCAGAACAGGAGGCUGUUCAGAAUCCAUUUUAUUAGGACUGAGACGGAGAGGACUGUCCUCUAAGAUCCGUACUUGGCUCCUCCACAGUAAGAGAACGAACAGCUCCUGGAAACACAGGGCGCGGCCAUGCUGGAUUUCCCAGGCACCCCUGCGGCCAAGUGAAGCCGAAGGUCAGUCCCGGCCUCUGAACGGAAGUGAGGGGGCAUGUGCUUCCGCCUGCCGAUGGUUUAAGGCCCCAGCAGGUACUUUUUCCAUCCUUUCCUCUUUUGGACGGGUGAAACCCAAGUGACCCAGUGGGUGACAAGACCUGGAGCACCACAGACGGCGCUUGUAGGAAGAGAAGAAGCCCUUGAAGGUCCAGGAGGAGAGGAGCCGUGUGCCAGCCCGGGGGAGGGCUCACCUCAGCUUUUCCAAAAGAGGGAAGCAGCUUCGGGGUGUUUUUAUGCCGCAGAAGGAUGUUAGGUCUGUGCUGGAGUGGCCUGACCUUAUCCUAUCUCACAUGGAUGAGACAGAGAAAAGGGAACAUUCCACUUGGUCACUGCAGCACUGCACUGAAGGCAUGAAAAUAACCUGUAUUUCACUUUCUUUACAGAUCUUAGAACAAUCUGAAGCCACAGAAUCUAAAACUUUAUUAAUUUUACUCAUGACAGAGUUUUUUAUCCCUUUUUCCUCUCCCUUUUCUAUUCUCAUCUCCACCCUGUACUAUUACCUAACCAUCCCACAAAGGAGGUUCACCUGAGGUGCUAAUGCCAAUCCCAGAUAACAUUGUCUUCCAUUAGCUGUCGUAUUAGGAAAAUCUGAGCCUUGUGCUCUUCCAACACAGGAUGGGGCAGUGUUCAGGUAGGUUGGAGUUUAAACACAGUAUUCUCCCCUUAUCCAAGCAGUUUGCAUUCCAAGACCAGAAGAAGCCAGAACUUACACAGCACCAAGCCCUAUAAAUAGGACACUUGUUCCCCUCUAAACAAGCUCAGCGUACAUUCUUUUUCCUUAUUAAAUAAAAAAUUGUCAUCUUUAUUAAUCAUACCACAGCGAUAUAUGCACACCCAUGUUUAUAGCGGUGCAAUUUGUAAUCACUAAAUCUUGGAAACAGCCCAAUUGCCCAUCAGUUGGAGACUGG